ensembl:lncRNA
GUGCAUCUCUUCUUCAUUCAGUAAAAGUCAACAAACAAUAAACAAAAUGCCUUUUAAAGAUCAUAAAGGGAUCCUGAAACCAAAAAGAUGAAAGAAAUGUUUUAAACUGAAAGAAGAGCCCCUCUUGCAGAGUGGACUUUGCCAGGUUAUAUAACCUUCCUCAGAAGAGGCUGAAGGAGGGAUGAAGAGGCCCUGAAGCCUCUGGGGGAAGGAGUAAGCAAGGCCUUUGGAAAAUGCAGGACCCUGGGAGAAAUCACCCCAGUAUGGGCUUUAUAGUCUCCUGCACCCAGUGAUGGCCAAGCUCACAAUUUCUCACCAGAAGAGUGAAGUGGGUCCAAAGAGUUGUAAUAGGACCAGAGCACUGCCUCACCAAAGCACUCAUGGAAUUCUUGCCCCAACCCAGGUGUCAUGGGGUUCUCCUGGGUCUGUGGACAGGCUGCAGGCAACCUGCUCUAUGGGGAUAUUAACACACUCUUUGCAUACAUUUAAAGGAACUUGUGUGCCUUGCUGGUGUCUGUCCAAGACUUCCUGUCAACUACAGCACCUGGUCAUCACCAGAGUCUGGAAACUCUAUCACAGAGCAAUUACAAAUCACAGCAGAAUAGUGUCAGAGAGUGACAUGAUUUUACCAGCAGGCUGUCCUCAGCCAGAACUUAAUUACCCUGGCCUUCAGAUGGGUCUCUUCAUAUCCCUGGGUUCCUCAUUUGGAAAAUAAAAAAGCCUGUUGGGAGAAGGUAAUUUUCAGGAAUGUCUUACUUAAGUAACAGCUCUGCAGACAGGAAGCACUGCCCAACAACUAACAAUAGGUAGCAUUUCAGAAGAAGAAGAUUCAGAGAAGAUCUGAUGGAGAAGCCAACAUCUGCAAAAAGGGAACACUCCUCCUCCCUUGCAGAACUCAUUGUGGGGGGAGAGAGAGAGAAGAUUUAUCAAAAUGAGAUAAGGGCAGACAGAGGAAACCCUGACUCAGAAGCUUCCAGUGACUCAGUUUUGAGAACAAGAAGCGUACUCAGUAUAGUUAAAAUUUCUGGAAAUUUCAAGCAGACCAAGAGAGAGCUAUCCAUCUUACACCACAGAGCACUAAUCUACAGAACUGAAAGUUUCCCCUGGAAAUAUGUGCUAAUAAGAGAUAUUGUCCCACAGUCCUCCUCUCUUCUGGCCUAUGUCUGCUAAGGAUACAAGGUCAUUUCCAGUGUGUCACUACCUCCUAAAUCUCAGUGAGCUGCUGUUAGGAGUUGGUGGUAUCCUAAUUAGGGACUCUGGAGAAACCCAUAACUCUGAAGUACUAUAGAACAGACACAUGGAAGGUAUACAACAGAAGGCUAGUAGGAAAGAAAGCCAGAAGCCUCCUGCCUGGGUAUUGUUUUCACCACUCAGUUUCUGACUUUUAGCAUGGAGCUUGACAUCUAGUAGGUGCUCAAUAAAUACUCCAUCAAUGAGUGAAGAUAGUCAUUAAAUUGGAUUUUACGUAAAAAGAAAAUAAUGGAAAUCAGAACAGUUGUGAGAAAGAGAAAGAGACUGAAGAGGAAGAAAGAUAGGCUUAGCAAUAUUUUUAUUAAUUUUCCAGGAUGAGACACAGCCUGGAGUUGCUGGAACAUAGCCCUGUGGCCACUUCUUCAGUCUUCUUUUGUGCCUUGGAAAGUAUUGUAAAUCAAUCUCUCUCUCUCUCUCUCUCUCUCCCUCCCUCCCUCUGUCUUUUUCUCUCCUUUAAAUGGUUCUCUUUAACCAUGUUUACAAAGUAGAAAGUACUAGGAGUGGAUUUGAAAGGAAUGCAAUGCAGCUAAUGAAUAACUCAAUCAAAUUAAAUGAAGAUUGUGUUUCACAGUUGAGAGGAAAUCGUCAGUUGAGUAAACAAUCCCUAUCUGAUUGGGAGAGAAACCAAGGGAUACACACACACACACACACACACACACACACACACACACACACACAGUGUGCCCAUCUUUUGGUUUUUGUUUUUGAGAAUUUCACCUACUUCAUUACUGUUGUGGGGAUCAAAUGAGAUCAGCAGAAGUGCUCACUGUGCGAUCUGUACAUAAUGAAUUUCCUCCCUACCAUUCCUCAGUCCAGUGGUGGUGAACCUAUAGCACAUGCUGGUUUUCUUUUAAUAAAAAAGAUGUUAAUGUAUG